AUCUUCAAGAAUGUUGCUCUGUUUGUUGGUCACAAGGAGCAAGUACAGAGAUUCUAUCGGCUGAUAAACAUAUCGCACAUUUUCAGUCUCAAUAUAUGUAUGCUGCUUUCCUAUACCAACCAAUUUGGGAAAAGCUGCAAGAUAUCCUUCAAUUCUUAUACGAGACAUAUCAACAAAUUGCCUCGAGACAAGAGCUUUGCCAGAUUUAGAAAUUAUGGAAGCCGCUAGAACAACCAUCUUUGUUGCUUAGUAGAUUUUGUUGUAUCAGAUCCUGGGCAAUAGAUCGUAUACCAUCUCAUUACUCUGUAAGCAUUCUUCAAUCUUCAAUC
rnacentral:misc_RNA from 1 species